UAAAGAUAUGAUUAUUAUUAAUUGAAUUUGAUGUGAUGUUUAAUAAAAGUAUUUUUGUAAAAUAAAUGUUUAAGUAUAAAUAUUAGAAUAAAUUUGAGUAUAAUAGUGGAUUAGUACUGUAAAGGAAAGCUGAGAAAAGUAAAGUAUGGUUUGGGAAAAAGUAGAUUGGUUAUUGUACCUUGUGUAUCAGGGCUUAUUGAUUUUAAUGUGUGAAUUAUUUUUUCCCGAAUUAAGAGGGGCUAAUUUAUUAAGUUAAUUAAUGUGGAAUAAUUAUUAAGAAUAAUAAAUUAGGGGUGAUAUGUUAUCGGCUCUUAAGGUAUCUGGUUUUUCAAGAGAUAAAUUUAAUUUAGUCUACUUGUUUGUAAAGAUUUAAUUGGAAAGAAAUGUUUAUGAAAGUAGAAUAAUGGUUUGAGGGAUAAGCUUUGAAUUAUUAACUAUAAAUUUUUAUUGAUAAAUUUAAUUAUAGGCUUUAAAUUAGCCAUUAGUAGUAAGGUUGUUAUAAAUUAUUUUUUUGUUUUAUGAUUUUAUAAGAGUUUUAGUUAGUUUAUUGAAAUAAGGUAUAUAAUUAGUGGGUGCUUGUAAUAAUGAUAAAAUUAGUAUAUGUAUAGUAUUGUGAAAAUGUAAAAGUAUGAUAAAUUUACGUUAAGGAACUCGGCAAAUCUAAUACUCGCCUGUUUAACAAAAACAUGUCUUUUUGUGUUUAAUUUAAAGUCGGGCCUGCCCACUGAUAAUUAUUGAAGGGCCGCGGUAUUUUGACCGUGCAAAGGUAGCAUAAUCAUUAGUCUUUUAAUUGAAGGCUGGUAUGAAGGGUUUGACGAAGUAUUGACUGUCUCUAUGUAGUUGAUAGAAUUUAUUUUUUGAGUUAAAAAACUUAAAUGUUGAUAAAGGACGAGAAGACCCUAUAGAGCUUUAUAAAAUUGUAAUGGAUAUUUGUUUAGGUUAAGUUGGAUUUAUAUUAUAAUUAUAUUGUGUUGGGGUGACAUGAAGAUAUAAUUAACUCUUUAUAGAUAUUUACAUUAUUUAUGGAUAAAUGAUCCAAUAUUAGUGAUUUUAAGAUAAAGUUACCUUAGGGAUAACAGCGUAAUCCUACUUGAGAGUUCGUAUCGAAAGAGGGGGUUGCGACCUCGAUGUUGGACUAAGAAAAUGAUUAAAUGCAGUAGUUUAAUAAAUAGGUCUGUUCGACCUUUAAAAUCUUACAUGAUCUGAGUUCAGACCGGCGUGAGCCAGGUCGGUUUCUAUCCUUAUUUUAAUAGAAUACUUUAGUACGAAAGGACCAAGUAUGAGGAAUAUUUCUUAAGAAGGUGAAAAACAGUAAGAG
rnacentral:rRNA from 1 species